rnacentral:rRNA from 1 species
UACAGAGGCCUCGAGCGUUAAUCGGAGUUACUGGGCUUAAAGGGUGCGUAGGCGGCGCCGUAAGUGCUUUGUGAAAUCCCAUGGCCUAACCAUGGAAUUGCUCGGCAGACUGCGGCGCUUGAGGUCGGUAGAGGUCGCUGGAACUCUAGGUGGAGCGGUGAAAUGCGUAGAUAUCUAGAGGAACGCCAAAGGUGAAGACAGGCGACUGGGCCGAUUCUGACGCUGAGGCACGAAAGCGUGGGUAGCGAACGGG